rnacentral:pre_miRNA from 1 species
CGUGUUCACAGUGGACCUUGAUUUAUUGUAUUUCAAUUAAGGCACGCGGUGAAUGCCA